rnacentral:rRNA from 1 species
GACGAACGCUGGCGGCGUGCCUAAUACAUGCAAGUCGAACGCAGUGGGGACGGGGGAGUAACACGUGGGUACCUACCCAUCAGAGGGGAUAAAACUUGGAAACAGGUGCUAAACCGAUACUGAUGGAUGAACGCGCGGGGCAUUAGCUAGUUGGGGGGGUAACGGCUCACCAAGGCACGGAGACAUAGCCGACCGGAGAGGGUGACCGGCCACACUGGGACGGAGACACGGCCCAGACUCCUCCGGGAGGCAUCAGUAGGGAAUCUUCGGCAAUGGACGAAAGUCUGACCGAGCAACGCCGCGUGAGUGAAGAAGGUUUUCGGAUCGUAAAACUCUUUUGUUAGGGAAGCGGUAUCUAACCAGAAAGCCACGGCUAACUACGUGCCAGCAGCCGCGGUAAUAC